rnacentral:lncRNA from 1 species
AGAACACAGCCUUGUCAAUCUCCAUCCAGGUUUUUCUCACUAUCCUCUCCUGUAACUUUCUAGAAGAGCAAGUGUCAUAAUGAUGGAAACUAAAUUAGUCGCAUACACAAAGAAUCAUCUGUUCUUUCCGUUUAAGUUUCCUUUCUAAAAUGCCUUAUUAUACAAACAGCAAACUAUUUAAAGAGAGGUUUCCUGGAAUGAGUGUUACUGGUCUGGAAGGGCCUCUGAAGAGUCCAGGAAUAGGUCUGCUAACCAAAGGAAUGACCCCCUCACAGAGACCACCACUGACUGCCAUGUGAGCCGCCGUCCCUCCAGCUGCCCUCACUCCACCGGCUGCUCCCUCUCACAUCCCUCUCUGGAUUCCUUAUCACAAGCCACCCCAAUAAUGAUGCUGAAGACAGAGAACAAAGAGAAGUAGAUGAAAUGACUCACUGAAGAACACUUUUCUAAUUAGGUGCCAACUUAAGAAAACUGGGCUUAUGUCAAAGUCUGAACAUUUAUUCUUUGAGUUCUCCAAUCAAGGGAGCCUGGUCUAUAAGCAUGUAGUGCUUCACAUCAAAACAUACCUCUCCAAUAGCAAUGUCAUAAAAAUGCAGGUGUGUGACCUUUGGCAAACUACUUCAGCUCCCUUGCCUCACAGCGUAAUUCACAUGUAAAAUGGGGACUCCCCUCAGACCUCCUUCAUAAGGUUGCUGUAUGGAUUCUGUGAGUUAUUUCAUGAGUAGUCCUGAGAACAGAGCCUGGCAUAAAGGAAUAACCUAUCUACUAAUGAUCAGCACCUGUGUCUUUGUGUCUGAGGCCAAGAAUAAAUUCAUCAACUGGGUAGCCACUACAGCAGAAGAAGCCAACCACAGUCAAUGUUGACUACGCGUCAAGUUGCCAGAGGCCACAGGAAAUGGACUACCUUGGAGAAUCAUCCCUGCCAACAUUUCUGAAUGGCUAUGUCACUACCAAUGGGGCCACAACAACAACACUUGCAACCCAACCUGGACUUCCUUUGACCAAAGGAAGAAAUCUAUCUUUGCCCAUGUCAGACGAAAGGUGAACACCACCCUUGCCUUGUGUCAAAAGCUUUGGUAUCCUGCCCAAUAUGCCUGGAACAGUAUAUAUUGGGAAACUGCUGUGCUGGUGGCCAGAUUCCAUAUAGCCCCCCACUUUGUCUGGAGGCCUUAAAUGGCUCCUCUAAUGUUACUCUGGGGUUUCUCCUGCCAGACAACUGUCAACACAUACUCGAAAUCAACAACAUUGUCCCCAGUGAAACACAAUCUCUUUCCUGCUUUAAUAACACCUUAAUACACUAUAAUUACAAAAAAACCAUUGCUGUACCCUGGUGGGGGCCCUGUGGGUAUGCAGAUCCUACGAGUGGCAAUACCUGCCCCCACAUUGGAUGGGGAGAUGCACUUAGAGGUGGCCAUUAAUUCCAUUCACCAUCCAGGAUAAUAUUCCCCUCCCCAGUAAUCUGGACUCCCUGGUGGUGGUACCCUAUCACAGUAUUCUCCCCUGCCACCGGUACAAUCCUGCUUCAGCAAAAAAUUAAAAUAUUAAGCUUACAUGUAGAAGAAGCUCUUAAUGAUAGUAGCAUUGGACUUAUGUUGCUAUCAAAUGAAUUUGCUCAGCUGUGUACUGUUGUGUUACAAAAUCGAAUGGCAUUAGAUAUGCUUACCGCAGCCCAAGGAGGGGUUUGUGCCUGACUGCAUACUGAAUGUUAUGUGUAUAUCCCUGAUAAUUCUCACAAUAUCACUCUCCUUGAAAAGCCAUGGUGGGUGUGGUUUUUAUUAAUUGUGCUUUUAAUUCUCCUGUGCUUAUCCUGUAUCUGUAAUCUGUAUCAACUAUGCCUUCCCCAUGUAUCUGUAAGGGUAUUUUUCUACAAUUGAGUAUCAAAUUGAGGCUGAGUGUGGAGGAAAAGUUAAAUAUUAAAUUUGAACUCAAUUGAACAUGACACAAACGAUGGUCACCAAGUCCCAGAACAGGUUGUGUGAGCCCCUUGAGGCGCUCAUCCAGUGCUGAUUCGGAGAAAUCUCUAUUUCAGUCUAUUCCUAUAUGUUAGUUAUUUAAAAAAAUAGACAAUUGCAAAAACAAGUUGACCUUUUUGUGUUCCUUGAGCCCAGUCACAAAGGGUUCUCGUGACUGGAAAUCAUGCCAAACAACUCAUUACAAAAAGAGUUAGGGUUCCAGACUGCGCAAAAGCAUCGUGAGACCUCUCCUCGUCUGUGCAUGGAUGAGUGGCCGACUCUGGAGCCCAGGCUAUUGAUUCCUGGUCUGAUGGUGAAUCCUCCAUAGUCUGGUGAGUGUAAAUAUAUAUAUGUAUACACAUAUAUGUAUAUGUGUGUGUAUAUAUAUAUCUUUUCCCUUCUCCCCUUCCCAUUGCAAUUUGCUUUUGCUUAUAUCAUUUGCUUAUUAUAUCAUUUGCUUAUUAUAUCUAUAUUGCCAUAUACUUGGGAUAAAGGCUGUCUACCCUUAAAGGUGCUGUGUGUGUGUCUUUUCUUCUCCCCUCGCACGUUUCCAGCACAGAACAAAUGACCAGGUAAUAACCCAGAGGGUUUACUGUAAUUACUUAAGCAUUCCUCUAUUAUUGGAAAUGUGAGCAAUUUCCAAUUUUUCUAUUAAAAGUAAUGGAGUGAUAAACAAUUCUAAAUAUAUUUUUGGUUCAAUUCUUUGAUUACAACCUUGCAAUAGAUUGCUGGAAGUUCAUUCUACCUUUUUAAAAAGUUAAAAUAACACAUAUUAUGCACAGUAGCUAACCCAAAGAAGCUGAAGUCCCAUUAGACUGUGAAACUUUUCCGAGGUAGAUUCUAUUCCUCUAGAUAGUAAGGAAAAUAUCCGAAAUUUGUUCCCAGCCCUAUUCAUUGAUUUCUGCAUCCAUUCAAUAAAUAUCUGAGUAACUGCUAUCCAUCAGACAAAUAAACUGUUGGAAAGCCAUUUAACCACUUUGAGACCUUGUACUCUGAUCCAUAAUAAACACCAAAUGGUCUUCACAGCUGAAGACCAUUUCCUGAUCCUUGCAAUGAAG